rnacentral:lncRNA from 1 species
CAAUGAUGAAGACACGUACACAAGCAGAAAGCUAUCUCAUUAUCCACGUAUAUGGGUCUACUUUGAUCUCUGUCUCAUCUUUCGGCGCUUCCUCUUCAGUCUCCUCAUGCGCUUCUUCUUCCACUGUAAAUAAUGAAGAUUAAUUGUCAAAGGAACAAACUAUUUCAUAUACAUAUUCAUAUUCAUAUAUAAGAAAAAUGUUUUUCUCAUGGCCACUCCCAAGAGGAAAUUGCAGAGACACUGCGCACCCCAAGGCAACAGGAUAUGACAAUGCCCCUUUCUUUGACAAGCAGGAACUAUCCACCACAAAGGGAGGAUGGCUCAACUGCAGUAAUCAUCAAAGAAUGGCUUGAUCUGCGACAAUUUACCUUUGAGUUUUGCGAAUAUUGACUAAUUCGCCCCAAUUUGAUUGUAAUUGACACACUUCAAACAUUUAAGUAACAAGGGACCUUGAAACAAAUUCAAAGACGAUUUGAAAAACAUCAGGGUUCUUUGAAAAUAUUGAUGCUAUUAAAGUCCAGCAAUCUAUAAAAUUCAAAAUCACUCAUGUUCAAUAUAAGAAUGAACUAUCCAAAAAUAAUAGUACCCAUGUUACAUAAACCUAAGCCAUGCAAGAAAUAAAUUGUCAAGUAAUUCCCUAGAAACGGAAAUAAAUAAUAGCAGUAACAAUCAUUAUUGUACUUUCUCAGUCAGGUGCUCAUUUUAAAUGCAUUAAAACAUGAUGCUAGUAUUACUAGAUUUUUCUAAUAUAUCCCGACAUCUUAACAGUCAUAUGCACAAUAAACAUACCAUUGGAUUGUGAUAUGGCUCCUACAAAUAAACAAUUCAUCAAUGGAAAUGCAUAUGAAUAUCUAAAUUUAUAUUACAAUUUUUAGCUGCAAAGCAGGCAACGGCCUAAUACUUUUUGUCAUAUACAAACCAUAGUGUGCAAAGUUUUAGGAUUAGAUGUCCAUCACCGUCAAAAUCCCCAUAUGUACAUUAUUGAUGGUUUAAUCACGUGUGUGCGCUUGUGUGGAAUGCGCUUUGGUUAAAUAAUUAAUCUUCUGCCUUCCAAAGGGUAUAUCAAUUUCAUAAAUUUUUAUAAAACAGGGGCUAUUAUAAAAGGAUUUACAAGAAAACAAAGUAUAUAACCAAUCAUUGUAGUAACAGAUCGUAAACCUAAUUGAUUACAGAUUAGGUGCACGAGAAAACAUUGAAAUAUCAUGAAUUUCCAGAUAAUUAAGGCUGAAAGAGCAAUCGAGAGGGAAUAUUCAAAAUUGAAAUCAAAAUAAUAAUCAAAGUGCAAAUGAACAUAUAAAUUUUUGAAGACUAGUAGCUUAUAGGGUUACCUUAGCACGCAUCUUCGAUCAACUUCUCUCUCUUUCAGUCUGUUCACUCUACGAGCCGAAUUUUGUCCAGGUAGGAAGAGCAAAUUGUGUUUUGUGUGGCUCUUCUUUCGCAUUUUAUAUGCUUAGCUUGCAAAACCCUAAUUCUUACGGGCUUCACAAUGCGUACAUGGGCUGGGCUAGAUAGUCCAGAAAUUGAAAUUCAAUUGUUUUUGAUUACAUUACUCUAAUAAUUUAGAUGGCCCUUUACGGGUUGAAUCUUGAUGGCCCAAUCCCUUUCUCAAAUUUAUUUAAUAUGUACCGAAAAAUAUAUUGAUACGUCAAGGAAAACAUGGUUAACUAUAAAAUAAUUUUCGAUCAAACGGAAAACUCUUUCUUUAUCUUAGAAAAAUGACUUAAAGAUUUGAGAUUCGUAAGUCAUUUUCCAACUCUACCUCCCAACAAUAAAUUUUAUUUUUUAUUUGUUUAACCUAUCUUUAGCAAAUUAUUUAUUUAUUGCUCAAUUAAUUAAAUUAUUUUCUUCAUAUAUGUAUGUCUUAUUUAUCUUAAAGCUCUUAAGUUUGGUAAUAUUGCUCUCCUUCAAUCCUAUUUUGUCAAAAAAAAAUCUCUUUAAAUUUUUUAAUAGAAAUGAUAAUAUUUUAUUUAUUCUUUCAUAAUGCAAAUUAUAUUUAAAAAUGGACAAAUUACAGUAAAAAAAUUAUUUAAUUAACUUAAGUACAAAUUAUGAUGAUCUUUUUCAUUUCAUUUUCAAUUUAACAACCAAACAAGGAAGAACAAGUUUAAUAUAUUUUCGUAAGAAAAUAUGCUUACGAAAUGAUGGCCAAUAUAAUAAAAGAAAUGAUUCAAUUUAUACAUUGAUGAAUUGUUUAUUUACGGGUUGAAUCUUGAUGGCCCAAUCCCUUUCUCAAAUUAAUCAUGUUUUGCUUGACGUAACAAACAGUGAAAAAUAAAAAAUAAAAAUUUCGGAAAACGUUUUACUUAAAACAAAAUGCAGCCUACAUAUUUCAUAAAUUUAAGAAAGGAAUUGGGCCAUCAAGAUUCAACCCGUAAAGGGCCAUCUAAAUUAUUAGAGUAUUGGAACUCUCAAACAAUUGAAUUUCAAUUUCUGGAUUAUCUAGCCCAGCCCAUGGACGCAUUGUGAAGCUCAUAAGAAUAUGGGUUUUGCAAUCUAAGCAUAUAAAUAGCGAAAGAAGAGCCACACGAAACACAAUCUGCUCCUCCUACCUGGACAAAAUUCGGCUCGUCGAGUGAGCAGACUGAAAGAGAGAGAAGUUGAUCG